rnacentral:rRNA from 1 species
UGGGGAAUCUUGCACAAUGGGCGAAAGCCUGAUGCAGCGACGCCGCGUGCGGGAUGAAGGCCUUCGGGUUGUAAACCGCUUUCAGCAGGGACGAGGCGAAAGUGACGGUACCUGCAGAAGAAGCCCCGGCUAACUACGUGCCAGCAGCCGCGGUAAUACGUAGGGGGCAAGCGUUAUCCGGAUUCAUUGGGCGUAAAGCGCUCGUAGGCGGUCUGUUAGGUCGGGAGUUAAAUCCGGGGGCUCAACCCCCGUUCGCUCCCGAUACCGGCAGACUUGAGUUUGGUAGGGGAAGGUGGAAUUCCUAGUGUAGCGGUGGAAUGCGCAGAUAUUAGGAAGAACACCAGUGGCGAAGGCGGCCUUCUGGGCCAUAACUGACGCUGAGGAGCGAAAGCUAGGGGAGCAAACAGGAUUAGAUACCCUGGUA